CCUACGGGGGGCAGCAGUGGGGAAUAUUGGACAAUGGGGGGAACCCUGAUCCAGCCAUGCCGCGUGUGUGAAGAAGGCCCUCGGGUUGUAAAGCACUUUCAGUGAGGAAGAACGCCUGGUGGUUAAUACCCAUCAGGAAAGACAUCACUCACAGAAGAAGCACCGGCUAACUCCGUGCCAGUAGCCGCGGUAAUACGGAGGGUGCGAGCGUUAAUCGGAAUUACUGGGCGUAAAGCGCGCGUAGGUGGCUUGAUAAGCCGGUUGUGAAAGCCCCGGGCUCAACCUGGGAACGGCAUCCGGAACUGUCAAGCUAGAGUGCAGGAGAGGAAGGUAGAAUUCCCGGUGUAGCGGUGAAAUGCGUAGAGAUCGGGAGGAAUACCAGUGGCGAAGGCGGCCUUCUGGACUGACACUGACACUGAGGUGCGAAAGCGUGGGUAGCAAACAGGAUUAGAUACCCUAGUAGUC
rnacentral:rRNA from 1 species